CGCAAUGGCACGACUGUGCUGAUAAUGAUGAACAAGAGCAGCAGCUGUCAGCCUCUGUAGGCAGUGCAACACCCACACCUGAGAGUUGGUCCGUGUUUAGAGGUGCUGGUGAAGAGUCACAACGUCAAAAAUUAGGAUGAAAAUAAAAUAGGGUUUUCACAUGAAGGCAUAAUAAUGAAACCAAACCAAAGGGAUAAAGAGAGUCAGCACGAUGAACACAGCAGUUCAACCCCGUCACCUCACAGCUUGCUCCAUAAGCUCCUCCCACCGAGGAAAGAGGGAGAUUACACUGCGGGCUAUUCAGGCAAGCUGGCACGCCGGCCACAAAUACGCUUUCUAGCCCAUACUGCUCUAAUGAUAAAUCCUGGCCAAGCUGAACAGACAGUUUUGACUUCAGAGCGUGUUUGGAAGGACCAGUGCUGUACUAGACAAACCGCCUACGCGUUUAGAAGGUGCUAUUUAUUUAUUAAGUAUAUUUAAUGAGUAGAAAUAGAGCUGUGUGGUGGGCAUGGUGACCGAGGGUGACUGGUGUGGGACGAGAGGCUGCCAGCAUGUUAAAA
rnacentral:lncRNA from 1 species